rnacentral:rRNA from 1 species
CCUACGGGUGGCAGCAGUGGGGAAUAUUGGGCAAUGGGCGCAAGCCUGACCCAGCAACGCCGCGUGAAGGAAGAAGGCUUUCGGGUUGUAAACUUCUUUUAAGAGGGAAGAGCAGAAGACGGUACCUCUUGAAUAAGCCUCGGCUAACUACGUGCCAGCAGCCGCGGUAAUAAGUAGGAGGCAAGCGUUAUCCGGAAUGACUGGGCGUAAAGGGUGCGUAGGUGGUUUGACAAGUUGGUCGCGUAACUCCGGGGCUCAACCUCGGCACUACUACCGAAACUGUUGGACUUGAGUGCAGGAGUGGCAAAUGGAAUUCCUAGUGUAGCGGUGGAAUGCGUAGAUAUUAGGAGGAACACCAGUGGCGAAGGCGAUUUGCUGGACUGUAACUGACACUGAGGCUCGAAAGCGUGGGGAGCAAACAGGAUUAGAUACCCCUGUAGUC